CUAUUGAAGAAGAAGGAACAUACAGAGCUGCUAGUUGUUGUAAUUGUUCAGUCUCCUAGCCAGGAUCUCGAGUUCCUUUUACAUCACAAGGAAUUCAAUGCACUGAGGCCACAUGAAUGGUUAUUUGGAGAGACUAUUGAGUGCUAUUUCAGAGCUGUACUUAAUAAGGAGGAUGCAAAUCUCUACCAGCUAAGCCAUGACACCACAGGUGUCAUUUUAAAUGGCACAAGAGAGCAGAUGGAACAGCAAGGAUUUUGAAAAGUCAACUUAGAGCAAUAUGAUGGGGUCAUCACUUUUGUCAAUAUCACCAAAAAUCACUGGAGGUUUGUGGUAAGUAAAAGAGUGCUAAUUUCAAUGAUAAGCUACUACAUAUGCCCAUUUAGACAUGUUUGAUCUUUCAGUGACAUUUAUUUGCUAAUUUAUUUGUUUCUUUUUAUCCAAUUUAGUUUGUAUAUGCUCAGACUGACACCCUUUUCGUGCUUGACUCUCUGACUGGUACAAAUGAAAUGAAACUAAAAGGCAUGCCAAAAAUUCGGGUAUGAUAGUCUGUUUUAAAAAAAGAUAUUUAGCAUGUGUAGAUCCAAAACAGUAAUACUUUUUUACUAGCAAGCGCAUACCCUUUCUGCUCUUUGUUCAUGUAUGAUUAUAUUUGUGGAGUGAGACAUGCUUAUAUUAUGCUGUAUUAUAAUCAAUUUUACUAUAAUAAAAUCUUCUUCAAAGGCAACUAUACAUUAGUGUUUUACUUUCUUAUUAUUUUGAACAUUAUUUUGUUUGUUUUUAUAAAAAAAUUCAUAAUCAUUUAUAGUCAUGUAUGUAGUUGUCAUUGAUUUAUCAUUAUUAUGGUAGUACUUUAAAACAUAAAUAAUUCACAGAAACAAAACAUAAAUGACUGGUUAAUCAAACAUACUCAAACAUACUCAUAGUGUUUAAUAUAGUAAUAUUUACUGUAAAAGUGUAGUUUGUACCCUUAAUGUCUAAUAAAGCUAUUUUGUAUUCACACACUAUUAAAAUUA